CCUACGGGAGGCAGCAGUGAGGAAUAUUGGUCAAUGGACGAGAGUCUGAACCAGCCAAGUAGCGUGAAGGAUGACUGCCCUAUGGGUUGUAAACUUCUUUUAUAUGGGAAUAAAAUGUUCCACGUGUGGGAUUUUGUAUGUACCAUAUGAAUAAGGAUCGGCUAACUCCGUGCCAGCAGCCGCGGUAAUACGGAGGAUCCGAGCGUUAUCCGGAUUUAUUGGGUUUAAAGGGAGCGUAGAUGGGUUGUUAAGUCAGUUGUGAAAGUUGGCGGCUCAACCGUAAAAUUGCAAUUGAUACUGGAAGUCUUGAGGACAGUUGAGGUAGGCGGAAUUCGUGGUGGAGCGGUGAAAUGAUUAGAUAGCACGAAGAACUCCGAUUGCGAAGGCAGCUUACUAACCUGCCACUGACAUUGAUGCUCGAAAGUGUGGGUAUCAAACAGGAUUAGAUACCCUUGUAGUC
rnacentral:rRNA from 1 species